GAGUUUGAUCAUGGCUCAGAAUCAACGCUGGCGGCGUGCCUAACACAUGCAAGUCGCACGAGAAAGGGACUUCGGUCUUGAGUAAAGUGGCGCACGGGUGAGUAACACGUGACUAAUCUACCCUCGAGUGGGGAAUAACUGAGAGAAAUCUUAGCUAAUACCGCAUAACACUUACGAGUCAAAGCAGCAAUGCGCUUGGGGAGGAGGUCGCGGCUGAUUAGCUAGUUGGCGGGGUAAUGGCCCACCAAGGCGAUGAUCGGUAUCCGGCCUGAGAGGGCGCACGGACACACUGGAACUGAAACACGGUCCAGACUCCUACGGGAGGCAGCAGUGGGGAAUUUUGCGCAAUGGGGGAAACCCUGACGCAGCAACGCCGCGUGGAGGAUGAAGUAUCUUGGUACGUAAACUCCUUUCGAUGGGGAAGAUAAUGACGGUACCCAUAGAAGAAGCCCCGGCUAACUUCGUGCCAGCAGCCGCGGUAAC
rnacentral:rRNA from 1 species